UGGGGAAUUUUGCACAAUGGGGGAAACCCUGAUGCAGCGACGCCGCGUGAUUUAGAAGGCCUUCGGGUUGUAAAAAUCUUUUCUAUGGGAAGAAAAUGACAGUACCAUAGGAAUAAGGACCGGCUAAUUACGUGCCAGCAGCCGCGGUAAUACGUAAGGUCCGAGCGUUGUCCGGAAUCACUGGGCGUAAAGGGUUCGCAGGCGGAAAUGCAAGUCAGGUGUAAAAGGCAGUAGCUUAACUACUGUAAGCAUUUGAAACUGCAUAUCUUGAGAAGAGUAGAGGUAAGUGGAAUUUUUAGUGUAGCGGUGAAAUGCGUAGAUAUUAAAAAGAAUACCGGUGGCGAAGGCGACUUACUGGGCUCAUUCUGACGCUGAGGAACGAAAGCGUGGGUAGCAAACAGG
rnacentral:rRNA from 1 species